rnacentral:lncRNA from 1 species
CUGCUGUCUUGAAGGAAAGGAAUCAGCACAGGAGUAUUACUGAACUGGUUACAGCAAGGGGGUCCAAAAUUACCAAUUCUGAUGCUAUUAAAAAGGAGGUCACUGAUUUUUAUAAGUCCUUAAUGGGUACAGACGUUGUCUCUCUUCCAGCUAUAAAUCGACCGUAUAUGACCAAUGGUCAUAUACUAACAUAUCAACAGAAGAAAGAUUUAGUUGCUGAGAUCACUGAUUCUGAGAUUCUGGAUAGUUACUAUUAAAAAGGAGGUCACUGACUUUUAUAAGUCCUUAAUGGGUACAACAGCUGUCUCUCUUCCAGCUAUAAAUCGACUGUGUAUGACCAAUGGUCCCAUGCUAACACAUCAACAGAAGAAAGAUUUAGUUGCUAAGAUCACUGAUUCUGAGUUUGUGGAUAGUCUGAAGGGAAUUGGUGAUGACAAAACCCCGGGAAUUGAUGGGUAUAAUGCACUGUUCUUCAAGCAGACUUGGAGCAUCAUUGGCAAACAGAUAACUGGUGCAGUCAAGAAUUUUUUCCAAACCAACAGGAUGUACAGACUAGUCAACUGUGCCUCCCUUACCCUGAUACCUAAAGUUCCUAAUCCAACAACAGUCAAAGAACACCUAAAGUUCCUAAUCCAACAACAGUCAAAAAGUUCAGACCAAUAGCUUGCUACUCAGUGUUAUAUAAAAUGAUUUCCAAGAUACUAGCCAACAGAAUGCAGAAGAUCAUGGCUAGAAUCAUCUGUGAUGCUCAAGCAGGAUUCAUCCCAGGCAGGAAAUUGCAGACAAUGCUAUAUUGGCCCAUGAAUUAAUCAAAAAUUACUCCAGAUCUCAUCUAACUCCUAGAUGCAUGAUCAAAAUCGACCUGCAGAAGGCAUAUGAUUCUGUCGAAUGGACUUUCAUCAUCUGUGAUGCUCAAGCAGGAUUCAUCCCAGGCAGAAAAAUUGCAGACAAUGUUAUAUUGGCCCAUGAAUUAAUCAAAAAUUACUCCAGAUCUCAAAUAACUCCCAGAUGCAUGAUCAAAAUCGACCUGCAGAAGACAUAUGAUUCUGUCGAAUGGACUUUCUUGCAACAGGUAAUGGAGGCAACGGGAUUCCCAGUCAGAUUCAAAAAAUAGAUUAUGAAAUUUGUCCUAACAGUCAGCUAUGCAGUGAUGAUCAAUAGGGAAACAACUGAACCUUUUAAAGCAGCUAAAUGACUUAGACAAGGUGAUCCAAUCUCUCCAUUUCUCUUUGCUAUAGUAAUGGAGUACUUAAGCAGAGGGUAAAAACUGAAGUCCAGCAACAAAUAACUGACCAUCUAGGCUAUGUAUAUGGAGAGUUGCCUUUCAGAUAUUUAGGUAUACCUUAUCUACAAAGAAGAUGGCUGCGAUCCAGUGACAGCCACUAGUUGAUAGAAUUACUGCUAGGAUCACAUCUUGGACUGCCAGAAAAUUGUCGUAUGCUGGAAGACUUCAAUUGGUCCAAUCAGUGGUCUUUGGUAUUCAAGCUUAUUUCUCUUUGCUAUAGUAAUGGAGUACUUAAGCAGAUCUUUGGCUGAAUUGAAGAAAGACCAAGAAUUUAUAUUCCAUCAAGGCUGCAAGAAACUGGGCAUCACUCAUAUCUGCUUUGCUGAUGAUCUGCUGCUGUUUGCUAAAGGAGAUAAACAAUCUGUAAUUACCAUGUUCAAGUACUUCUCUCAAUUCACUGAAGCUUCUGGGCUGAAAGCCAAUCUGACCAAAAG